rnacentral:tRNA from 1 species
UAAAAGCCCCUUGCUUACACCGAGGCCAUGUCUGUUAAUCCCGGACCAUUUUGA